UACGUAGGAGGCUAGCGUUGUUCGGAUUUACUGGGCGUAAAGGGCAUGUAGGCUGUUAUCUAAGUGUGGAUUUAAAGGCAGAAGCUCAACUUCUUGCAUGGUCUGCAAACUGGAUGACUUGAGUAUAGGAGGGGGAACUGGAAUUCCGCGUGUAGGGGUGAAAUCUGUAGAGAUGCGGAAGAAUACCUGUGGCGAAGGCGAGUUCCUGGCCUAUAACUGACGCUAAAAUGCGAAAGUGUGGGGAGCGAACAGGAUUAGAUACCCGCGUA
rnacentral:rRNA from 1 species